UCAACAUCAUGCAAUAUGCCCAUAUAACAAAUCGAAAAAUGUAUCCUCUGAAUCUAAAAUAAAACUUGAAAUUAUUUUUUAAAAAAAGAAAAGGAGAAU